rnacentral:rRNA from 1 species
UGGAAGUCGGAAUCCGCUAAGGAGCGUGUAACAACUCACCUGCCGAAUGGAUUAGCCCUGAAAAUGGAUGGCGCUGAAGCGAGCGACUUAUACUCGACCAUCACGGCAAGUGCGACGCCGUGAUGAGUAGGAGGGCGUGGGGCUCGUGGCGCAUCCCGCGGCGUGAGCCGGGGUGAAACGGGCUCUAGUGCAGAUCUUGGUGGUAG